AAAUUGAAGAGUUUGAUCAUGGCUCAGAUUGAACGCUGGCGGCAGGCCUAACACAUGCAAGUCGAACGGUAACAGGAAGCAGCUUGCUGCUUCGCUGACGAGUGGCGGACGGGUGAGUAAUGUCUGGGAAACUGCCUGAUGGAGGGGGAUAACUACUGGAAACGGUGGCUAAUACCGCAUAACGUCGCAAGACCAAAGAGGGGGACCUUCGGGCCUCUUGCCAUCAGAUGUGCCCAGAUGGGAUUAGCUUGUUGGUGAGGUAACGGCUCACCAAGGCGACGAUCCCUAGCUGGUCUGAGAGGAUGACCAGCCACACUGGAACUGAGACACGGUCCAGACUCCUACGGGAGGCAGCAGUGGGGAAUAUUGCACAAUGGGCGCAAGCCUGAU
rnacentral:rRNA from 1 species